GACGAACGCUGGCGGCGUGCUUAACACAUGCAAGUCGAACGCUGAAGCUUGGUGCUUGCACUGGGUGGAUGAGUGGCGAACGGGUGAGUAAUACGUGAGUAACCUGCCCUUGACUCUGGGAUAAGCCUGGGAAACUGGGUCUAAUACUGGAUACGACAUGUCACCGCAUGGUGGUGUGUGGAAAGGGUUUUACUGGUUUUGGAUGGGCUCACGGCCUAUCAGCUUGUUGGUGGGGUAAUGGCUCACCAAGGCGACGACGGGUAGCCGGCCUGAGAGGGUGACCGGCCACACUGGGCCUGAGACACGGCCCAGACUCCUACGGGAGGCAGCAGUGGGGAAUAUUGCACAAUGGGCGGAAGCCUGAUGCAGCGACGCCGCGUGAGGGAUGACGGCCUUCGGGUUGUAAACCUCUUUCAGCACGGAAGAAGCGAAAGUGACGGUACGCGCAGAAGAAGCGCCGGCUAACUACGUG
rnacentral:rRNA from 1 species